UACGUAGGGGGCAAGCGUUAUCCGGAAUUAUUGGGCGUAAAGAGUGCGUAGGUGGUUACCUAAGCGCAAGGUUUAAUCUCGAGGCUCAACCUCAUUCUGCCUUGCGAACUGGGCUACUUGAGUGCAGGAGGGGAAAGCGGAAUUCCUAGUGUAGCGGUGAAAUGCGUAGAUAUUAGGAAGAACACCGGUGGCGAAGGCGGCUUUCUGGACUGUAACUGACACUGAGGCACGAAAGCGUGGGGAGCAAACAGGAUUAGAUACCCUGGUAGUCCCUGA
rnacentral:rRNA from 1 species